rnacentral:lncRNA from 1 species
UUCCUCUCAUUCCCCCGAGUUCGGAUCGGACUGUAGAAGUCACGCGGAGAGAAGGGAGAGCAGCAGCAAAUCUACUGUAGAAUUCUCAACAUCGACUGUAGAAGAGAAGGGAGAGCAGCAGCAAAUCGCCAGAGUCGUAGUUGUUCCUUCUUGAUUGUUUCAGGUACCAAUUGCAGUUAUCUAAGCAGCAAAUCGCCAGAGUCGUAGUUGUUCCUUCUUUAUUAUCUAAGCAGUCUCCUUAUUAUUGAUUUUAAGUUAGAAUCCAUAUUAUCUAAGUUAGAAUAAUAAAAUCCGUAGCUUCUCAUAUAAAAUCCAUCUUGCUGGCUGCAAUCUUCCUCCAUAUGAGAGAGUUUUAUUUGUCCAUGUCAUCAAGUGGCUAUUGAGUUGUCUAUGAGGCUUGAACAAUAUGAAUAUCUAAGUUCUCUCCCUAUGAAUAACUGCAUCUUAUAUCGCAAGGACCAUCAAAACAUAACUGAGUGUCCGACAUGCAGACACCCUAGGUACAAGACAAUAACUUCUACUGGUCGAAAAAUACCAUUUAAAAUUUUAAGAUACUUUCCUUUGAUACCCAGACUUCAACGGUUAUACCACUGUUCAAAUACUGUAAAGGAAAUGAUUUGGCACAGUCAAUGUCGGAAAGAUAUCGCCAAUGAAGUUAGACAUCCAGCCGAUGGUGAAGCUUGGAAAUAUUUUGAUCGUACUCACGAAAGUUUUGCCGCAGAUAUUCGAAAUGUGAGACUUGGUUUGUCCACUGAUGGAUUUAAUCCAUUUGGUCAUUCGAGCGUGCCGUACUCAUGUUGGCCAGUUAUCGUUACCUCAUACAACCUUCCACCGUGGAUAUGCAACACACAACCAUUCAUGUUCUUGACUAUUUUGAUCCCCGGUCCUCACAGUCCAAAGAAAGAAAUUGACAUUUAUCUAUCCCCUUUGAUUGAUGAAUUGAAAAUUUUAUGGAAUGACGGGAUCGAGACAUACGAUGCAUUUAAAAAACAAAAUUUCUUAAUGAAAGCGGCACUUUUGUGGAUUAUUUCAGACUUCCCAGCUUAUGCAAUGUUGUCCGGUUGGAGUACUCAUGGAAAAUUAGCAUGCCCAUAUUGUAUGGGAAACAACAAAGCAUUUUAUCUCAAAAAUAGUAGAAAGAAAUGUUUCUUUGAUUGUCAUCGUCAAUUUCUUUCGGCAAAUCAUCAAUAUCGGCGACAGAAGGAUAAAUUUAGUAGAAGGAUUGAAAAAGAUGUUACGAUUGAACGUCUUACAGGAUAUGAAUUAGAAUCUCACAUCCUUUCUCCGGAUGAAGUGAUUUUUGGAUUGUCGCACAAGGUCAAAGAAUCCAAUUUCGGGAAAACACAUAAUUGGACAAAGAGAAGUAUUUUUUUUGAAUUACCUUAUUGGAGUUCAUUAUUAAUACGUCAUAAUGUGGAUGUCAUGCAUGUUGAGAAAAAUGUUUUUGAUAACAUCUUCAAUACAGUUAUGAAUGUCAAAGGCAAGACCAAAGACCAUUUAAAUGCUCGGAAAGACCUUCAGGAUAUGCGUAUUAGACAUAGCUUGCACCCACAAAUUUGUGACGACAAAAUACUUAUUCCCAAGGCCUCUUAUGCUCUUGAGAAGGACCAAAUCAAGAAAGUUUGUGAAUGGGUGAAGACAUUGCGUUUCCCUGAUGGUUAUGUUUCAAAUAUAUCUAGAUGUGCAAGCGUCGAAGAUUGCAAAUUCUCAGGUAUGAAGUCUCAUGACUGUCAUGUGUUCAUGCAAAGAUUAUUACCAAUUGCUUUCAUCGAUUUGUUACCUAAAGAAAUUAAUGAAGUAUUAACAGAAGUUAGCCAUUUCUUUAGUAAAAUUUGUUCCCCUACUUUGAAAGAAUCUGAAAUGAGAGCACUUGGAAAAUCCAUUGUCGAGACUAUGUGUAGAUUAGAGAAGAUUUUUCCUCCUUCUUUUUUUGAUUCAAUGGAGCAUAUGUUGAUACAUCUUCCGUAUGAGGCACAAGUCGGUGGACCCGUACAAUACAGAUGGAUGUACCCGUAUGAGAGGUAAAUCAUACAAAAUAAAUUUUCUAAAUAAUGUUUAUUAUAAAAUUUUAAAUGAGAUUAUCUAUCUUCAGGUUUAUGUAUUUUUUAAAGAAAAAAGUACGAAACAAGGCUUUCGUUGAAGGGUUCAUUGCUGAAGCAUAUAUUGCUGAAGAAAUAGGGAACUUUACUUCAAUGUAUUUCGAUGAUAACUUUCAAACAAAAUAUAAUAAGAAAUCUCGAAACUUUGAUGGAGGUAUAGUUGAACCGGUUGGUCGUUUAUCCAUAUUUUCACAACCUGGUUGUGCUCUUGGUGGUGGUAAAAAAUGAUACUUAGAUGACAAAGAGUACCUUGCUUCAAUUACAUAUCUACUACUUAAUUGUGAUAAAGUCGUACCAUAUUUAAGGGAGUUUGAAGAACAAUAUGUGAACCUUAGCGAUGGGGAACUUCAUCAAAAAACAGAUUGUUUAUUCUAUGGUUGGUUCAAAAACCGCUUGAAACCGAUAGAAGAAGAUGAGCGUUUGCGUGUUCUCUCAAAAGGCCCAAAUCGAGAAGUGACGUGUUACAAGAGUUACAUUAUCAAUGGAUUUAGAUUUCACAUAAAGAGUGAGGAUAUUUUAAAAAAAACUCAAAACUCUGGAAUGAUGAUAAAGGGAAGUGCAUACGAAGGUCUAGAGGAAAAUAACUACUAUGGAGUUCUUCUUGAUAUUAUCGAAUUGGAUUUCCUUGGAGAUAUGACUCGAGUAGUUAUGUUCAAAUGUGAUUGGUACGACAUCCACAAAGGAAUGAAAAUUGACCGUUCGAAAAAUGUAUCGAUCAACAUACAUACUAAACUUAGAGCAUAUGAACCCUUUGUUCUAUCUCAACAAGCAGAGCAAGUUUUCUACGCACCAAAUGUCUCCCAAAAGAAUAAAGAUUGGCAAACUCUCAUCCGAACAAAAGCUAGAGAUCGUUUUGACAUUCCAGAGAAAGAGGGAGAUACAUAUCAAGACGACUUUAAUGAGUUCCCUUUAAAUCUUCUUGAUGAUAAUAACAUUGAUAAUGUAUCUCUAAAUGUGGAUGGCACGUUUGAUGUUGAUUCAUUCGCACCUGACCCCACUUUACAUGAAGAGAGUGAGAGUUAUGUCGAAGAUGAAACAGAAAAUUUCAAUUCUGAAGAUGAAUGUUCUAUAUGAGUCGCCUGAGUGAGUUAUAUGUUUUAUACUUUCAUUUUUUUUUCCAAGCAGAAUAAUUUCAUUUUAUUUAUUCAUUUAGAAAAUAUUCCAUUAGAAAUGGCACGCGGACGGAGUCGUAAACGAACAAACGACGG